rnacentral:rRNA from 1 species
GGGCGUAAAGGGAGCGUAGGCGGAUAGUUUAGUCAGAGGUGAAAGCCCAGGGCUCAACCUUGGAAUUGCCUUUGAUACUGGCUAUCUUGAGUACGGAAGAGGUAUGUGGAGCUCCGAGUGUAGAGGUGAAAUUCGUAGAUAUUCGGAAGAACACCAGUGGCGAAGGCGACAUACUGGUCCGUUACUGACGCUGAGGCUCGAAAGCGUGGGAGCGA